rnacentral:rRNA from 1 species
AACGAACGCUGGCGGCGCGCUUAAUACAUGCAAGUCGAACGAGAAGGUGUAGCAAUACACUUGUAAAGUGGCGAACGGGUGAGGAAUACAUGGGUAACCUACCCUCGAGUGGGGAACAACCAGCCGAAAGGUUGGCUAAUACCGCGUACGCUUCCGGGUCUUCGGAUUCGGAAGGAAAGUCAUACCGUGGGUAUGACGCUCAAGGAUGGGCUCAUGUCCUAUCAGCUUGUUGGUAGGGUAACGGCCACCAAGGCUCCGACGGGUAGCUGGUCUGAGAGGACGAUCAGCCACACUGGCACUGCGACACGGGCCAGACUCCUACGGGAGGCAGCAGUAAGGAAUAUUGCGCAAUGGGCGAAAGCCUGACGCAGCGACGCCGCGUGGGGAUGAAGGUCUUCGGAUUGUAAACCCCUUUCGGGAGGGAAAAUAGGAACGAGCAAUCGUUCGGAUGGUACCUCCAGAAGCAGCCACGGCUAACUUCGUGCCAGCAGCCGCCGUAAG